rnacentral:rRNA from 1 species
UACAGAGGUCCCAAGCGUUGUUCGGAAUUACUGGGCGUAAAGGGUUUGUAGGUGGCUUGUUAAGUCAGACGUGAAAUCCCUCAGCUUAACUGGGGAACUGCGUCUGAUACUGGCGAGCUUGAGUGCAGGAGAGGAACGCGGAAUUCCAGGUGUAGCGGUGAAAUGCGUAGAUAUCUGGAGGAACACCGGUGGCGAAGGCGGCAUCCUGGACCGGCAUUGACGCUGAGGCGCGAAAGCCAGGGGAGCAAACGGG